CUUGGAAAUCGUGAGCGUCUUCUUGCUUUCUGUGAGGCUGUGCAGAGGAGCUCCCCAGUCGGUUCAUUUACUAAACCAAUUGCUGGCACAACUCCUGGAUAUGCAUCAGAGGUGAUAUUUGCUGAUGGAACAUUUGUUGAUGGGAGUACAAGUGAGCUUUCAUGUGAUGGACCAUUAAGAGAGCCAUUCGCUGUAUUUUGCCAGGGUGGCUCCCAUUGGACUCAGUGGGGACUAGUUCUUGGAGAGGUUUUAAAAGCCAUAUAAUGUAGAACGAAGAUUUUCCAAUGAGGACAGCUGACAGCACGAUUAUGGAAUGGAAUGUUGAUAUGGAAGUUAUUGAUUUCUAAGUUUGCAAAGCAAGAAGUAUGGUAUGGCAGUCUCAAGAUAUGUCCUUGCCGCAAUUGCUCAAAAUACAGCAGCAGUGGCAUUUCACAUCAUUUUUUCGAAAGAAGGAAACAGCCUUCCUGAUCC